GUGCUCGCUUAGGCUGCACAUACACUAAAAUUGGAACGAUACAAAAAAGAUUUGCAUGGCCCCUGCGCAAGGAUGACAUGCAAAUUCAUGAAGCAUUCCGUACUUUU
ensembl:snRNA U6 U6 spliceosomal RNA